AGCGGCGGACGGCUGAGUAACGCGUGGGAACAUACCCUAAAGUGAGGGAUAACUACUCGAAAGAGUGGCUAAUACCGCAUAUGAUCUUCGGAUUAAAGCUUUCGAGCGCUUUAGGAAUGGCCUGCGUACGAUUAGAUAGUUGGUGAGGUAAAGGCUCACCAAGUCGACGAUCGUUAGAUGGUUUGAGAGGAUGAUCAUCCAGACUGGGACUGAGACACGGCCCAGACUCCUACGGGAGGCAGCAGUAGGGAAUCUUUCACAAUGGGCGAAAGCCUGAUGGAGCAACGCCGCGUGCAGGAUGAAGGCCUUCGGGUUGUGAACUGCUUUUAUAAGCGAGAAAUAUGAUGGUAACUUAUGAAUAAGGAUCGGCUAACUACGUGCCAGCAGCCGCGGUCAUACGUAGGAUCCGAGCAUUAUCCGGAGUGACUGGGUGUAAAGAGUUGCGUAGGUGGCAUAAUAAGUAGCUAGUGAAAUCUGGUGGCUCAACCAUUCAGACUAUUAGCUAAACUGUUAAGCUCGAGACCGUUAGGGGUAACUGGAAUUUCUAGUGUAGGAGUGAAAUCCGUAGAUAUUAGAAAGAACACCAAUAGCGUAGGCAGGUUACUGGGACGGUUCUGACACUAAGGCACGAAAGCGUAGGGAGCAAACGGGAUUAGAUACCCCGGUAGUCUCCCCCGUAAACGAUGGAUACUAGCGAGUUUUUGGGUAUCGACCCCCAGAGUGUGGAAGCUUAACGCGUUAAGUAUCCCCCCCUGUGUAGUACGAUCGCAAGAUUAAAACAUAAAGGGAAAUUGACGGGGACCCGCACCAAGCGGUGGGAGCGUGAUCUUUAAUUCGAUGGUAAACGAUAAACCUUACCAAGGCUUGACAUCCGAGGAAGGCUCUCGAAAGAGAACUGUGCCUUCGGGAACCUCGAGACAGGUGAUGCAUGGCCGUCGUCAGCUCGUGUCGUGAGAUGUUUGGUUAAGUCCCGCAACGAGCGCAACCCCUGCCCUCAGUAGCCAGCAGGUAAAGCUGGGAACUCUGAGGGGACUGCCCGGGAUAACCGGGAGGAAGGCGGGGAUGACGUCAAAUCAUCAUGCCCCUUAUGGCCGGGGCUACACACGUGCUACAAUGGCGGAAACAGAGGGAAGCAGCCCCGUGAGGGUGAGCGAACCCCAAAAAUACCGCCUCAGUUCGGAUUGUAGUCUGCAACCCGACUACAUGAAGCCGGAAUCGCUAGUAAUCGCGAAUCAGAAUGUCGCGGUGAAUACGUUCCCGGGUCUUGCACUCACCGCCCGUCA
rnacentral:rRNA from 1 species